UACGAAGGGGGCUAGCGUUGCUCGGAAUUACUGGGCGUAAAGCGCACGUAGGCGGAUUGUUAAGUCGGGGGUGAAAUCCUGGAGCUCAACUCCAGAACUGCCUUCGAUACUGGCGAUCUCGAGUUCGGGAGAGGUGAGUGGAACUGCGAGUGUAGAGGUGAAAUCGUAGAUAUUCGCAAGAACACCAGUGGCGAAGGCGGCUCACUGGCCCGAUACUGAC
rnacentral:rRNA from 1 species